rnacentral:rRNA from 1 species
AGGACAAACGCUGGCGGCGUGCGUAACACAUGCAAGUCGAACGGGGUCAGCGGGACUUUCGGGUUCUGCUGGUCUAGUGGCGGACGGGUGAGUAACACGUGGAUAACCUACCCUGGUGUGGGGGAUACCCUGUAGAAAUAUAGGCUAAUACCGCAUGAGGUGGAGCUUGGGGGACUAAGCUUCAAGAAAGUCGUAAGACGCAGCAGGUGGGGUCCGCGGCCGAUUAGCUAGUUGGUUGGGUAACGGCUGACCAAGGCGACGAUCGGUAGCUGGUCUGAGAGGAUGAUCAGCCACACUGGGAUUGAGAACGGCCCAGACUCCUACGGGGGCAGCAGUGAGGAAUCUUCGUCAAUGGGCGCAAGCCUGAACGAGCAACGCCGCGUGUGGGACGACGGCCUUCGGGUUGUAAACCCCUUUCAGGAAGGACGAAGCCACUCGGGUUAAUAGCCCAGAGGGUGACGGUACUUCCAGAAGAAGCCCCGGCUAACUACGUGCCAGCAGCCGC